GCCAGUAUAUAUGUGUAUAUGGACAAGAUGUGGCAACAAGAGCCAAGAACAAAGUAUUUGACACCUGAAAUAGGAUGGCUGAAUAAAUUGUGGUGGAUGUGCACAUGGAAUAUUAUUUUGGAGCCAUUAAACAGGACAAAUUAGAGCUUACUACUUGGCUUGGAAGGCUUUUCAUGACGUCAUUUUUUUGUAAAGCAGAGAAUCUCUGCACAUGCAUAAAGGUACUAAUGUUCCCUCAUAAUUUUUAUGAGCCUUCAAGGGAAGAUGAGAACUAGCCUGCUUGAAGGGCAUAAUCCCUGGGGGUCAGCUCAACCAGUGGCGGGCACCCCUUCCAGAGGAGAAACUGCUUUGCCCCUGCAUCCAAAAUUCUUUCGUUGCCUCCUGUAGCAUGUUUACCCAGGCUCUGUGGCACAGGGUGGUAAUGACCAAGCAAAAGAGUCUGUCAUCGGUGUACAUGUGUAAGACUUCCUCUGGACUGAGCUCCAGUCAGACUAUCUGCAGCUCAUUUUACUGGCACUGAAAACCCUUCUUUGUCUGUCUUCACCUACCUCAGUGAACUUAGAUGCCACUAUUUGCCAACAAAUAAACAAA